GAAGCUGUGAUCCAGUUCAAUAAAUGUAUUGCUAUGGAGUAGCUGGAAGAUGCACCAGCGGCAGGAGUUCUCAGGAUGUCAGUCUCCACACAAUCAGAAAGGUAAAGAUCAAGAAAAGAAAUGACAACAAAUGCUGGAGAAGAUGUUUGGAGAAGGGAACCCUCAUCUACCUUUGGUGGGACUGCAAACUAGUUCAAUCAGUAUGGAAGUAAGGAUGGAGAAUUCAGGAACCUAAAAGCAAAUUUACAAGAGAGGCUUUUCAAUCCUGGAAAAAGUAUUUUUCCAGAGAACAGGAUAAUGUAACAGCCAUGGACCCUAGCCAUGUGCACGAAUGGAGAUAAGGAAGUGAGCAAGCAAAGAUCUCCACCCUGUUACAGAAGAAUGGCCAGGCCUGCGCUUGUGAGAUAACAUUGCCUAGCAACCAACCCAGAUGGCCCUGUUCCCCUCCCAAAUAAUCCCUAAUCGUUUUGAAGGCGUGUAGCCCUGCUUCCCAGGAAAACCACAGGAUGUACCAAAAGCUUUCCUAACUUUAAAAAUGACCAAAUCUGCAUAUAGCUGGGCAUUCCAAGCGUGACUUAAAGAUCAGAUAUCCCCCAGAUGUCAGGGGCAGGACUGAUCGGACGUGGCUCCCAAAAUAGACCAACUAUUUUAAAAGUCAACCCCUUCAUUCAAUCCUGUGCUGUCAAGUCUGUAACCCCGUGCUUCCCCACGUUUUUUCCUUUAAAACCCCAAGGCUUUUGUUCCUCACGGCUGUUCCCUGUUGGCUUGGAGAGCUGCCCCAUCCCACAUUAGCUUGAA